GGUGUACCAGUUGUCGUGCCAACGGCAUAGCUGGGUAGCUAUGUGUGGACGGGAUAAGUGCUGAAAGCAUCUAAGCAUGAAGCCCCCCUCAAGAUGAGAUUUCCCAACUUCGGUUAUAAGAUCCCUCAAAGAUGAUGAGGUUAAUAGGUUCGAGGUGGAAGCAUGGUGACAUGUGGAGCUGACGAAUACUAAUCGAUCGAAGACUUAAUCAA
rnacentral:rRNA from 1 species